rnacentral:rRNA from 1 species
AUUGAACGCUGGCGGCAUGCUUUACACAUGCAAGUCGAACGGUAACAGGCCGCAAGGUGCUGACGAGUGGCGAACGGGUGAGUAAUGCAUCGGAACGUGCCCAGUCGUGGGGGAUAACGCAGCGAAAGCUGCGCUAAUACCGCAUACGAUCUAUGGAUGAAAGCGGGGGACCGUAAGGCCUCGCGCGAUUGGAGCGGCCGAUGUCAGAUUAGGUAGUUGGUGGGGUAAAGGCUCACCAAGCCGACGAUCUGUAGCUGGUCUGAGAGGACGACCAGCCACACUGGGACUGAGACACGGCCCAGACUCCUACGGGAGGCAGCAGUGGGGAAUUUUGGACAAUGGGGGCAACCCUGAUCCAGCAAUGCCGCGUGCAGGAAGAAGGCCUUCGGGUUGUAAACUGCUUUUGUACGGAACGAAACGGCUCUGGUUAAUACCUGGGGUUAAUGACGGUACCGUAAGAAUAAGCACCGGCUAACUACGUGCCAGCCGCCGCAGUAACAC